GAUACCAGGGGCGAAAGGCCUACAUCCACGCGAGUUUACUCGUAAGUGGAUGAAAGGCUUUGAGACCCGCCACGACAUGAGCAUAAAAGUGGGAUGUUAAUCCCACGAUAUGCGAAUGUUGGGGAGAAUUGUGGGAGUGCGUAGCACGGAACAAUUCGUAGGUAUC
rnacentral:sRNA from 1 species